GGGCCCGCACAAGCGGUGGAGCAUGUGGUUUAAUUCGAUGAUACGCGAGGAACCUUACCAGGACUUAAAUGCAUAACGAUCGGUUGAGAAAUCAACUUUUCUUCGGACGGUAUGCAAGGUGCUGCAUGGUUGUCGUCAGCUCGUGCCGUGAGGUGUCAGGUUAAGUCCUAUAACGAGCGCAACCCCUAUUCUUAGUUGCCAGCGGAUAAUGCCGGGGACUCUAAGAAAACUGCCAGCGCAAGCUGUGAGGAAGGUGGGGAUGACGUCAAAUCAUCACGGCCCUUACGUCCUGGGCCACACACGUGCUACAAUGGUAGGUACAAAGGGCAGCCACUUGGCGACAAGGAGCUAAUCUCUAAAACCUAUCUCAGUUCGGAUUGGAGUCUGCAACUCGACUCUAUGAAGCUGGAAUCGCUAGUAAUCG
rnacentral:rRNA from 1 species